CAGAGGGUGAGAAUCCCGUGCGAUGAGAUGUCCCAGACCUAUGUGAAGUUCCUUCGAAGAGUCGAGUUGUUUGGGAAUGCAGCUCUAAGUGGGUGGUAAAUUCCAUCUAAAGCUAAAUAUUGGCGAGAGACCGAUAGCGAACAAGUACAGUGAUGGAAAGAUGAAAAGAACUUUGAAAAGAGAGUGAAAAAGUACGUGAAAUUGUUGAAAGGGAAGGGCUUGAGAUCAGACUUGGUAUUUUGUAUGUUACUCUCUCGGGGGUGGCCUCUACAGUUUACCGGGCCAGCAUCAGUUUGGGCGGUAGGACAAUUGCAAAGAAAUGUGGCACUGCCUCGGUAGUGUGUUAUAGUCUUUGUCGAUACUGCCAGCCUAGACUGAGGACUGCGGCUUCGGCCUAGGAUGUUGGCAUAAUGAUCUUAAGUCGCCCGUCUUGAAACACGGACCA
rnacentral:rRNA from 1 species